rnacentral:rRNA from 1 species
UACAGAGGUCUCGAGCGUUAGGCGGAAUUACUGGGCGUAAAGGGCGCGCAGGCGGCCCUUGAAGUCAGGCGUGAAAGCCCGGGGCUCAACCCCGGGUCGGCCGUGGCAACUGCUGGGCUCGAGCACUGUAGAGGCAGGUGGAAUUCCGGGUGUAGCGGUGGAAUGCGUAGAGAUCCGGAAGAACACCGGUGGCGAAGGCGGCCUGCUGGGCAGUGACUGUAAUGGUCAAUAGCUGACGCUGAGGCGCGACAGCGUGGGGAGCAAACAGG